CGCCUUGCCAGCCCGCUCAGAACUAAAUGAAUGACGGGGGCCCGCACAAGCGGUGGAGCAUGUGGUUUAAUUCGAUGAUACGCGAGGAACCUUACCUGGGCUCAAAUGUAUGUUGACGUAUUCUGAAAGGGAUACUUCUUCGGACAAUAUACAAGGUGCUGCAUGGUUGUCGUCAGCUCGUGCCGUGAGGUGUCGGGUUAAGUCCCAUAACGAGCGCAACCCCUAUCAUUAGUUGCCAUCAGGUCAAGCUGGGGACUCUAAUGAAACUGCCUACGCAAGUAGUGAGGAAGGUGGGGAUGACGUCAAAUCAGCACGGCCCUUACGGCCUGGGCUACACACGUGCUACAAUGGUCGGUACAAAGGGUUGCCAAGCCGCGAGGUGGAGCUAAUCCCAUAAAACCGAUCGUAGUCCGGAUCGCAGUCUGCAACUCGACUGCGUGAAGUCGGAAUCGCUAGUAAUCGUGAAUCAGAAUGUCACGGUGAAUACGUUCCCGGGCCUU
rnacentral:rRNA from 1 species